GACGAACCGUGCAAACGUUGUUCGGAAUCACUGGGCGUAAAGCGUAUGCAGGCGGAUGAGUAAGUAGGAAGUGAAAGGUUGGAGCUCAACUCUAACACGGCUCCCUAUACUGCUUGUCUUGAGUGCCGGAGAGGACAAGGGAACUUCACGUGUAGCGGUGAAAUGCGUUGAGAUGUGAAGGAACACCAAUGGCGAAAGCACUUGUCUGGACGGAAACUGACGCUGAGAUACGAAAGCCAAGGGAGCGAACAGG
rnacentral:rRNA from 1 species